GUAAGCAAUAAAUUUCUGCUGUUUUUAAGUUUUGAAAAAUCUCUGUGCUUCAAUUUGGAUAUGUUCUAUUUGUGAUAACUUGUCUCCAUGACAUUCAUCAUCAAUUACUUCCCACCCUGAACGCGAAGGCAAUUUUCCCAUCAAGAGGACUUCCAAAACCCUUGUGAAUUUCUAAGUGAUACAAGCACUAGGAUCAUCUUUUGUCCUAUUGAGGUAACUCUGAGUGGGCUCCUGGAUGUGGCUGGUCAGCAGCAAGACCAAG